UAGACGACGUUGAAGAGCAGCGGGUCACCGCGUCUCGCUGCACCUGCUUAGUCGCCUGGCAGCCCUGCGAGUGCCUGUGCGUGCACCUUAAGUAUGCCCUGCAAAACCAAAAUUAGUCAGGUACACAGUUCAUUAUUUUGGACUCGUAUCAAUCCUUCUGUCAUGCUCUUGUGUCAACUAAACACAAUUCAUUGUUUCAGAUCAGGAUCACAGGCAUGGCUGUGAAUUGUGACCUUGGGUAUUUGGCGCCGAGGAUGUCCUUCUGGCCGUACUUGCGCCAGGAGAGGCCGUCGUCGAGCGGUGCCAGGUCGUGCACCGAGCUCACCCUCACCUGCCGCCUCACCUUCUCCAUCGCCCCCCUCUUCCUCCUGAGCUUGCCGCCAAUGGCGCCGCCGCCACGUGGGGUGCCAGUGCCUGCGAGGCGGACGGCGUUGUCGACGGAGGCGGCCAGCGCGGCGCAGAGGUCCCUGGCGGUGGCCGGCGAGCCCCGCUCCACGCGCACCUCCAGCUCCCUCGCCAUCUCCAGCAACCUGUCCAGCUCCGUCGCCAGCCCUCCUCGCCUUCGUCGGCGCCACCAGUACGCGUCCUCCUCCCGCCCCCAGCCCCCCGGCUUCUUCCUCUUCUUCUCUCGUUUCACUUGUAUGUCAAUCUGGUUGUGGUUGGAACUUGGGAGGGCCGAGGGCAACAAUAGCUGUAUGUUUAGGGCUGAUUGUGAGUAGUGUGGUACUGAAGCGCAGGAAUACAGCUGCAAAAGUGACGGUGAUGACUGAUGCAAGAUUUUGCGUUGCAACAUUGAUGUAGCAGCAGCGUUUUUAGAAACAACUUUUGUUGAAAUGGUUGGAGAUGUGAAUGAUGCACUCCUGGGUAAUUUACUGGUUUUCAGAAAGCCUAUCCUUUGCUUGCUAGUACUCCUAUUAGAAAUGAUGCUGUGAAUGGAAGUUAAUAUAGUUUUCAUGGUGAGGAAUUGUCUCGAGUAAUUAGAUGAAUGGUAUGGUUGGACAAGUUGAAACAAUGCCACACAAAUUAUGUGUCUGUCAGAUCUGUUUGAACAAAACAAGACCUCGGCCAUCAAGCCACAUGCAAAAUGUGUUUCUUAGAUGUUCUACAUAACAUUGCAAUUUGCAUUUGUGCAAGUGAUAAUUUUCUCACAUGCCUAAAUAGAAUUAAACACGCAAUGCUCAUAUACUUGUCCAGUGUUCAGGGAGGACCACUAUAUCGUUUUUUUACAUACUUUACGCUUGGACCGCUAUUUGGUUUCUCGCUAUUUAGCUAUUACUCCCUCCGUUUCAUAAUUUUUGUCUCAAAUUUGUUCAAAAAUGGAUGUAUUUAUUUCUAAAAAGUGUCUAGAUACAUGUAAGAUUUCGACAAGAAUUAUGGGACGGAGGGAGUACUAGCUAGCAGAAAAUUAUCUCUCAAGUUAUUAAUUCUUUCCCUGUUGUUUCAUGCACAUUGCACCGCCCUUUUAUCUACCUGCUGGGAUAUAUGGUAUUUGCAUCAUAAGUUUCCAGUGAAUCCUACAUAUCUAUAUCUUUGCAAUAGUUAUUUACCGAUACGCUGCUAUCCUUUUGCAGCAAAAGUUCACUACGGAACCUCGCUGUCUAAUGUCGAUCUGCUGCACGGGACUGCGGAACCGUUGCUCACCCUCACCAACUUAUUCAUCGUGCUCGGGCUGAGGGGGCCCUUUAGAAACUUGAAGGAGACAGAGCAGUGCAAUUCUGAAGCUUCUGAGGACAGCAAGGAAAAAAGUUGUGUCUAGAUAGAUCUAUGCUCUUGUCAGUUCCCCAAAUUCUCGAGAAAUCCUUUUGGUGUCUAUAAUGGUGACAUCAUAAGGAGUGUACAUUACUACAAUUUCUUUUGCUCAACUAAUCUCAGUUCCCCAAACAUCUAAGUAAAGGCAACCCACUGCCUGAUUUUCCUGACUUCUCGUGAAGCCACCUCACCCCCUGUUCCUGCGGCCUGUUCCUUCCGUUCCGUUGCCUCCGUUCGCCCCGAUCCCGUUCCCGUUCACGUCUCCAACAUGAACAUGGGCUUCGUCUGGGCCUUUGUAGCCCAACGGAAGGGGGAAACAGCCUCCAGGUUCCACGGGUGCACGAGAUCAUCUGAGGGCAAAAAAAAAAAAAAAAAAAAAAACGAGGUCAUCUUCCUCCCCGGAUUCUGCUCCCUCCAGCUCCACGUUGUUUUUCACCGUUCGUCUUCACCAUUAUUACUGCUACCCUUCCUCUUCGUCUCCUCCAAAAAGAGUAACCGGCGAAAGAAUUAUGUACGGAGUAGCUCCAGUUUUUCUCGCUUUAAUAGGCUCCGUUGGGAAACUCUCCACAUUCUGCAGAUCCUCAAAUGCACCUCCCGAAGCCGCAUUCCUCGGUCUAACCCCCCCAGGCCAAACUGGGUCUCCCGUCCAUCACCGGCAGCACCGCAUGGCUCGAAAUCCAUACGAGCUCCUCGCCAUGGCGUUGAGAUGGAAGGCGACGCGAGCAGCGUCAAGAGGCAGAUGCUAGGGAGGGGAUACCACGGUAGGGAGGGCAAAGGGGCGAGCGACGAUUCAUGUUCUGCUGCUACUACGCUUGCUGGAUGGGAAGAAUCUGGAGAUGUCGCUGGCGCCCCGCUUCAGUUACCUCGCAGUACCAAGGUAGGCCAGAUUUUUUUCCCCUAAUCUCAAUCUGACGCUACUGUAUUACUGCUUUAUCGUCACACAUGUUAAUUAUUUUUCCUGUCUCUGCUCUUUAGUUGAUUGAGUUACAGAGGAUAAAAUAUGGCACAGAUCAGAAGUGAAUUUGCUGGAUCUAGAACCUGCAUUCAAUUAUCUCAUGUGUAAUGUGUUGCCAUUUUUCCCAGGUUGCUAAUUUAUACCACAAGUGAUUUUACUGAAUCCAACAACCAUCCAUGUCUCCAUUUACUGAAAUCAGAAACGACAAUAUUCAGGUCAGUUACCACAAAAGAGGGACCAUUUUUGUAUCGCAGCUUUCUAACAAAGACUAAUACUAUAUCUAUGCUGCUAUAGUUCAUUCAGAUCCAUGCAAUUGAUUUUGUUGAAACAAGCUUUCAUCAAUAUUUUUGUUAUUGCUUUACCGUUUCUUUGUGCAGAUUCUUUUCUAAAAUCUGUAGACAAGUUGUUUGAUGAACAUUGAAGCACUUCAGUGAUCUGACUUACUUGCUGCUAUUUUAAUCUGGCAUUUUUUUCUCAAGUCUGCUGCAUACGGCCAGCAAAGCGUGCUUGUACCGAACACACUACCAUGUGUCUUAUGCCCGUAGUUUUAUUCAUGCUAAACUAUGGUUACAUUUUUGGGAAGUGCACACACGGUCUGUCAAAAAUGGUGUAUUCUUUGGUGUGUACAACUACCUUUCAGGACUGUUAUAUAUUCAGAUGGUUCUGGUUGUUUGUUGUAGAUCUGGAGCAAUAACACUAAUUAUACAUAGUAGACUGAUUUGUAUGUAAGGUAUUGGUUAUCUCAUAAAGUUUAAUUUAGAUUUUGCCUUUCACUUUUGUUGUACAAGUGUUAUUGCAAGAGAAGUAAAUUAUUUUCUUUGGGCCUACUUCUAUCUUUGUAUGAUAUAUCAUGUUUAGUUAAACUAAUCUCAUGGUUUAUAGAUACAUUUAAAGUUAGGCAGGGUUUCUACAAGUUGCGUUGUGAGUGUGCUUGCAUGCCCAAGCAGUUAUGUUCCUUUCAAGGUUAAAUUAUGGUCCAUGAACCAUGUAUGUGAGAUGCUUCAUAACGGGAACAUAGCUUUAGACCAUCACAAUGUUGGUUCCUAACAGAGUUUAUUUUGUCGAUGUCGGUCCCACAUGAACAUAUGACUCUACCUUCAUUCUUGAUGUCAACUGGUGGAUAAUAAAAUAAUAAAAUGAUGUGCUUCAUUGUUCAUGUAGUUAGCAUGACCAAUUGUAUUCUUAUUGAAUCAGGACUUCUUUGUUGGAAAAAAUGUUAUGGAACAUUACAUCACAUGAAUGAUAUAAUACAGUCGUUUCAUCGAUUUGAAAAGCUUCCUACUUAGCUCUGCUUUUGUUUUCAUAAUUUGCAAACUGAAACAAUCUAGGAUUGUCAAAAGGUAUGCCGGUUACUCAAGGACAACCACAAUUUAUUUGUGUAAUUCGCAUGCAAGCUUCCUUCUUGGUACAUGUGCAAUAGUGGUUCGGAAGAAUCCUCUCAGAGUUCUCAUCAUUCUGAAGUGAUUGGCAUGCUAAUAUCCCGCGCGGGGUAUCAUCUAGUUUAUAAAGCCAGGUUACCAGAAUCUCCACAAUCUCUCCUCGUGCAUAUGCUGAUUCCAGAAUAUACUAGUGAUGGUACUGCUUUUGUAGUGAUACGAGAAUAGAGGUAACUGCUCAGAUUCAAAUUGUGCCUCCAGUGAUCGCCAAGUCUGAAACUCUGAACCUAAUACUAGUUCGAGUGUUCAGUACUACUCUUCAGUACGUUCACCAUACUGCAUUCUACUGCUUGAUCCCAACACCUACAGGUUCUGAAACCCUGGCUGCAAGAACUCUGACGGAUCCAGGAACAACAGCUCGUCGAGCUGAGCCUCGAACCCCAUGUCGAGCGGCCACUGCAUCCCACCGGCGCCAACCGGCAAGCCCUCAUCCUGCUGUUGCUGCUCCUGGCCGGCGGCAGCAGCAGCUGUUUGCCGCUGAUCGUGUCUCUGCAGGUGCUGCAAACCCUGGGCGCAGGUGUGGUCGCCGUGGUAGACGACGUCGAAGAUCAGCGGGUCGCCGGCGUCUCGCUGCACCUGCUUCGUCGCCUGGCAGCCCUGCGUGUUCCUGUGCGUGCACCGGAAGUAAGCCCUGCAGAACCCAAAAUUAAUUAAACACAGUUCAUUAUUCAAGAUCAGGAAUUCAGGAUCAGUAGGCAUGGCAUGGCUGUGAAUUGUGACUGACCUUGGGUAUUUGGCGCCGAGGAUGUCCUUCUGGCCGUACUUGCGCCAGGAGAGGCCGUCGUCGAGCGGUGCCAGGUCGUGCACCGAGCUCACCCUCACCUGCCGCCUCACCUUCUCCAUCGCGCCCCUCUUCCUCCCGGCCUUGCCGCUGGCGGCGGCAAUGGCGCCGCCUCC
rnacentral:lncRNA from 1 species